GCAGUCGUGGCCGAGUGGAUAAAGCGAUGGACUAGAAAUCCAUUAGAGUCUCCCCGCACAUGUUUGAUUUCCUGUCGACUGCG
rnacentral:tRNA from 2 species